rnacentral:rRNA from 1 species
GUAGGUGGCAAGCGUUGUCCGGAAUUAUUGGGCGUAAAGCGCGCGCAGGCGGUCCUUUAAGUCUGAUGUGAGAGCCCACGGCUCAACCGUGGAGGGUCAUUGGAAACUGGAGGACUUGAGUACAGAAGAGGAAAGCGGAAUUCCAAGUGUAGCGGUGAAAUGCGUAGAGAUUUGGAGGAACACCAGUGGCGAAGGCGGCUUUCUGGUCUGUAACUGACGCUGAGGCGCGAAAGCGUGGGGAGCAAACAGGAUUAGAUACCCUGGUAGUCCACGCCGUAAACGAUGAGUGCUAAGUGUUAGGGGGUUUCCGCCCCCCUUAGUGCUGCAGCUAACGCAUUAAGCACUCCGCCUGGGAGUACGGCCGCAAGGCUG